CCUCAGGAUAGCUGGAACUUGUAGAAUAGUUUUAUCAGGUAAAGCGAAUGAUUAGAAGCUCUGGGGAUGAAACAUCCUCGACUUAUUCUCAAACUUUAAAUAGGUAAGAUGAUUGCAGUACUUAAUUGACUGUCAGUCUCUUGAAUAGAAAGUUCUUAGUGGGCCAUUUUUGGUAAGCAGAACUGGCGAUGUGGGAUGAACCAAACGUAAAGUUAAAGUGCCUAAAAAUACGUUCAUCAGAUACCACAAAAGGUGUUGAUUCAUCUUGACAGUUGGACAGUGGCCAUGGAAGUCGGAAUCUGCUAAGGAGUGUGUAACAACUCACCAACCGAAUGAAUUAGCCCUGAAAAUGGAUGGCGCUUAAACGUAUUACUUAUACUUUUAACAUUAGAAUAAAUAGCUAAAUUCUAAUGAGUAGGAGGGCGUAUUGAUAAUUUAGUAAGACUGACAGUGAUAUUGGUUGGAUUAUCUUUAGUGCAGAUCUUGGUUGGUAGUAGCAAAUAUUCAA
rnacentral:rRNA from 1 species